GUGGGGAAUAUUGGACAAUGGGCGCAAGCCUGAUCCAGCCAUGCCGCGUGAGUGAUGAAGGCCUUAGGGUUGUAAAGCUCUUUCGUCAGGGAAGAUAAUGACGGUACCUGAAGAAGAAGCCCCGGCUAACUUCGUGCCAGCAGCCGCGGUAAUACGAAGGGGGCUAGCGUUGCUCGGAAUCACUGGGCGUAAAGCGCACGUAGGCGGCUUUCUAAGUCAGGGGUGAAAUCCUGGAGCUCAACUCCAGAACUGCCUUUGAUACUGGAGAGCUUGAGUUCGGGAGAGGUGAGUGGAACUGCGAGUGUAGAGGUGAAAUUCGUAGAUAUUCGGAAGAACACCAGUGGCGAAGGCGACUCACUGGCCCAAUACUGACGCUGAGGCGCGAAAGCGUGGGGAGCAAACAGGAUUAGAAACCCCAGUAGUCC
rnacentral:rRNA from 1 species